CACCCCCCCCACCCCGGCUUCCCACCUCAUUCAAGUCCAGCACCAACAGCAUGAGAGUCUCCCUCCCACAAUUCCCAGCGGAAGUCUCACCGCCGCUCUAAAGGGCUCUAAUGAAGUCACGUGAGUAUCAAGGAACCAAUCGUUGGCGGCUGCGUGAGUGCAACGCACUGAUUGGCUGAGCCUGUGUCACGUGCGUUGGGGCGCUCGGCCUCUAAAAUCACGUGACUGAGAAGGGGCCGGGAAAGGGCUGGUGGCCUGGUGACCCGGGUCUGGGCGACCACGGAGCCCGAGGGGCCCCCAAGGUCCAGAGUCAGCGCCUGAGACUCGGUGACGUGUUUCCCCCCCCGGGUGGGCGGCCGCUCAGCGGGCCCGUCCGACUCCCCUCUCGGCUCUUCCAACAGUCGCCAUAAAGGGGGAAGAUGGAGGCCAGCAUCAGCCUGUAAAGGGACCACCCCUCGGGGCGGAGAAGGGGAGACCCGGCCAUCGCCCUUUCCCUGGGCAGGGCGGCGCCCGGGCCCAGGAAGCCAGGAGCCAAACCCGAGGGCUGGCGGUAAGUCCCUUCCGGCCGAGGACCCGCCGGGCAGAAGCGGCCUCCUCUGCGGCCUCCCCCUCCACCCCCUUGACACACACGGAUCCUUUCAUGAUGCUCCAUGGAAACCAGAGAUGGAAUGAACCAGAGGCGGUCAGUGGAACCAUUGUUCUCCCUUGUAAAAUAACUGAACCCUUGUUAAUGCGUCGCCAGUCUCUAAUUUCUCCCCGAGAGCUCCCCAUUGGUUGGUGGCCGUCAACAGGAAACUUGAAACCCCUCAGUCCUCCUUUGUAGGACCGCCUUGUUGGUGGGCAGCUGCAGAGGCCUUGCCAUCGCGGAGCUGGUGCCCCGGGCGUGCAUCGCGGUGGCAGAUAGAUGAGCGGUCUGCAGCUGUACGGACAGAACAGCCCCGGAGGGGAAACUGCAUUUCUUCAGGAGGCAAGCAAAGGCUCGGAGAUGAGGAAAGAAGCGUUUUUAAGGGUCUGGCACCUGCGCUUCCACCAGAUCAGGACUCAGAGUCAUCACCACCCUCUUCUGUGGACCUGCCUCUUACUAGGAUGAUGAGCAACCAAAUUCUGUCUGAAACUCUACCCACGGGAGUGUGAUCGCAGCCUUUUACCUCGCGGAAGUCUUCAUGGCUAACCACAAUGGCCAAAUAGAUAGUUCUCCAAAUCUGGCUUAUUCUUACUCCUUUAAAAUGUAAGCUGUGUGAGGUUGGGGAGCGUGUCCUACCCGUUGGCCACUGUCUCCCUGUCUAGAAGCAGGCGGGCACUGGAUUUGUUUAUUGAGGGAAUACAUGGAUGAAUGGAUGAGAUCAGCCUCAACUUUCACUGCACGUGGAACAUCAUCAGCCGCAUAGUCCCAAGUUAAAUUUUGCCCAGUUCCAUUGUCUCAGCAGCAACUGCUGCAUGGUGCUCAGACCUGCUGGUGCCUCCUGGAGCCUUUGUAGUUUUCCACCCUGUUACAGUUGGUGGGGAACCCCCCCAACCCCGUCUGACUUGCCCAGAAAAAAGAAAUUAAAGUGUAGUCUAAAUCUAUUCCAGGGAAAAACAAAAAAGGUCUUCUCCAAAUAAAAAAUAAAAUCAAGCAAUAUUGUCUAUGAAAAGUGAAAUAAUUGUUCACACACCAAAUGGAUUACUGGGACCAAAUGGAUUCCUGGAUGCAUCCGAUGAAAACCUAGGUGGUGUCUUCUAGGUUGAUUCUGGGGUCUCUGCACUUUUCACUGCUGUGAGCUGUUUUGCGACAUUAAAUUACCCCAAAGAAGUAUUCAAAUUGUACCUCUUGGGACCUAAUAGUAUUUGCUGUUUCGAGAGGAUGAGGUUUCUCGCUUUUUCUGAUCUCAUUUUACAUGGCUUAAUCCUGGCACCCAGUCGCACCACUACCAUUGCCUUAGCAUUAAAGAUGGUCAGGUAACAGCCUCACCUCACCACCUCUAGGUUGAUUUCCUUCUUAGGAACAAGAACUAUCAAAUAGCCCUACCAAUCUUGUCUUGGAAUCUUGGGAUUUUGCUACUGGGAGGGGCAGAGAGUUUUCUUCUAUGUUUAAAAUAAUGCAUUUUUUUCCCAUCAGUCUGACACCUUUGUGGGGGGGAAAAGUCAGUAAAAUUAGAUAUUACCUGCCUGUGCUUAGCAGGGUGCCUGGGUUACAGUAAAGGGCAAUUCUCUGCUUCCUUUCUAACAUACUGUGCCAAGUGAAGAGAGGAAAAACAUGAGGGGUUCCCGGGUUCCCUGCCUGUAUCCUGGGACCAAACCCCUUGAAGGCAGGGCGAGUCUUUGACAUGUGAGUAUGACCUGUAGCCCAGUCCUGCCCGCCUUCCUAAGCAAAGCACAAGCUUGCUUCUGCCGGAGAAGCAAAUGAAAGCUUAAUAUCACCUAAAUAAUACAUAAUAGUGGUAUCAUUAUCCUGUCUUCUCCCAGUCUGCUAAGUUUGUAAUGCAUAAACGCUUAUUGGAUGAAUGAAAUCAAAUGACAUGAACUGUUGUAAAGUGGAAGGAAUGAUUCUGAUUAGUCUGGCAAAGCCCAAGGCCACAGGAACUGUAUUCUGCUUCCCUUUCUCCAGUGCAGAGCCAGGCUGGCAUUGUGGGCAAUCAUCACAAAACAAUUUUCCUGUCCAAGUUAAAAAGGUGGCCAUCCAGCCCUUAGAACUUGCUGCCCUCCUUCCCCAUGCCACCUCCCUCUCAAGUUCUGUCUGUCUCUGCCUCUGUCUUCCAAAGCAAAGGCUGCAUCGUCAUGGCUCUUGCCUCCAAAGCCAUUAACAAGUAUUGAGCAUGUUUCAGCAAGGUGUGUCCUGGAGAGACAGAAAACCCACAUGACUGCCUUUAUCCAUUUUUCAUGAGUACGUGGUAAGGAUGAAACAACAACCUAAUUUAGAAAAAGCAUUAAAGAAGAGGCUUAAGAUGGGGGAGGAGGGUAGUUUGCAAUGUUGAACUUGAGAAGGCGUUCAAGUGUGAGCAACACAAAUCUUUGCAGUAGCCUCUGAAUCCACUGUUACAGGUUACGCUGUCAGCCAGCUGUAUUGACUAUUUUUGUGUAAUUUAUUUGUUAAAAUUUCUGCUAAUGGACACUUCUGAAUCAUCUUCCGCAUUUAAUGUACCUAAUACCCAUUGAUCAGGUCAUUGGCUUAUUGGUUACCUACUUUGCUGCCAAGUGAUUCUCUAUGAUUGCUUUCUUCAUUACCCAUUUUUAUUCUAGGAGCAACUUCUAUUGUGUCCCAUUACACUAAUGGAAAUUAUUGAUAUGGAAAUUACGAGGCACUGAGCUUAAGAAUUUUGAUACACAAUCAUAUUACAUUUUUUCAGGUUGUAGAACUGCUCUUGAAUAAUUAGCAGUAAAUAUUGACAUGUUAGCGAUAUUAGUGAAUUUACUUAAUUCAAAGCAAAAGAACAAGAAACAUAGAAAAGAAAGUAAGCAACCAAAUAUUUUGCAUAGCUAUGUGUAUUUUGGUAAAAAUAAUUGUAGUGAGUUUGGUUUUGUGUUUAACACUCCGUGUUAAAAAUUCUCUAGCAUCCUUAGUUAAAAAAUACAAGAAUGUUUUAGAUAAUAGUUGCUGUAAAUAUGCCCAUGUUAUAGGUAGAAGAGUUAGCCCCAGGUAGCUAAUAUCUGCAUUAUGUUGUCUAAUAUGGUAGCCAUUGGCCACAUGUAGCUGUUGAACACUUGAAAUACAGCUGGUCUGAACUGAGAUAUAUCAUAAUUAUAAAAUGUACACCAAAUUUUGAAGACUUAGUAUGAAAAAAUGUAAAAUAUGUCAUCAGUGUUUUAUUGAUGACAUGUUGAAAUGAUAGUAUUUUAAAGAGUCGAUAAUAAAGUAAAUUAUUUAAAUUAACUUCAUUUCUUUUUUUUCUCCUUUUUUUUUAAGUGUGGCCGCUAGGAAAAUUUUAAUUACAUCUAUCUGUUCACAUUGUAUUUCCAUUGGACUACCGUGGUGUAGCCCAAGUCCUAAGUGGGUAGUGUCUAGCUCUGCACUGUCCAAUAUGGUAGCAAAUAGUCGUGCAGGACAAUGCUCUCCAGAUGUAAAUUACUCAAAAUUAAAUAUAGAAUUCUGCCCUCGGUUGUACCAGUCAACAUGUCAAAUGUUAUUGCCAUAUGUGGCCUGUAGCGACCAGCCAUACGUGGCUAGUAGGACAACACAGAGAAGACUUACAUCAUCCCAGAAAGUUCUAUUGGAAAUGCUGGCCUAGCACAUCGCUAAGCAAGCACUGCCUCUCUGCUAAACCAUUGUCCGUUGAGGCUGUGAUGAAAUCCAAUGAGAAUAAAUGUGUCAUAUUGAAGAUAAAACUGUAUAAAUAGUGAUAGCAUGCAGUUGGCAGUAGGGAUUAUUAAAUAUGGGAUUCAUCCUUGGAAAUGUUAAGUGCUGCUCAGGAUAGAGCUUCAGACAUGAUUUUUAUCCACUGGGGCGAUCACCUAAUUUUGAUGGAUGGAAAAGAUAGAAAACGGGUGAAAAGCACUGGAAACCCUUAGGAUGCCUUAAUAAGUUCUAGCGAACAAGAAUUUCUGUUUGAGCUCUACGCCCCUCUUCAUGAGGGGUAUGGUAUCCAACAUCCAAAGAAGUUAGACUGUGGAACAGGGUCUGUGGCCUAGCAGCCAGAUGGCACUUUGCUCUCCUGGGCCUGCUGCCUUCCCGAGGUUGAGAGGGUGAUGAGAACUGUGUGUUUAGGAGCUGGGGGUGUUGCAGAAUGGGGAGGUCACAGACUUUAAGCACUUAAGGGAAAAUUUCUAUAAAGUUAGGAGGCAAAAUUAUUCCUUAAACCGACACUUUCGGAAUCACAAGCCAAAAUUAAUUUCUUCAGUCUCUCUUUGCUUUUGGCCGUGACCUCUUUUCCCUAGAACCAUUGAAAGCCCAGGUCAGAAGAAGACGGGGAAGGGGUUGUAGGAGUGGAUGAGCGAGAGCUUCUCACUUUCUUUCAUUAACACUCUCUUUGUCACCAUGGCGGGGUGUGUGUGUCUGAACACAUUUGUUUGAACAUAUACUUGAUGAAACUCCUCUGCAGUCUUGUUGCCUUUAUGCUGUUUGUCCAGAAGUGAAGACAGCAGGAGAACUACCCCUUACAUUCUUCUGAAUCUGAGUGCCGGUGAUGAACACAAAAAUUGGAUGCUUUUCUUCGUUUCUCCCCGCGGGGCCUGACAGCCGCGCCUUCCGCCUCUGGGUGACUCACCCUGCGUGACACCAUGCUAGGCACAGACCCAGCACUGUCCUGAAGUCACGUUCUCCGGCAGCUGAGCGCACCACCCUUCCCUCGGAGCGCACCUUGGGCCUGGCAUGACCUGGGAGCCUGGAGCCUGGAUUGUGCAAGAGCAGGAGGCCUUUCCUGUAGCGCGGGGCCCAAGUCUGGGGCGAGGCUCCCACGGAGCUACUUUCUGCUCCCGGUUUCUAUCCCCAUGCUUGUUUUAAUGCCUGUUUUUGUUUCCAAUUAUGAGAUGGCAAGAAAUCUCCCUUCUCUCUUCUGCAGACCCGGGUGGUAUAUAAGUUAAGUAGGAUUUAACAGAUCAAAAGGGGAAGUUGGGCUCCUGGGUGGCUCAGUGAUUGAGCAACUGCCUUUGGCUCAGGUCGUGGUCCCAGGGUCCUGGGAUGGAGUCCUGCAUCGGGCUCCCUGCAGGGAACCUGCUUCUCCCUCUGCCUGUCUCUCUCUCUGUCUCUCUGUCUCUCUCUCUCUCGGUCUCUCACAAAUAAAUUUAAAAAAAUAAAAAUCUUAAAAAAAUAGGGAAGACUUCUCACUUCUUACCUAUGGCUUUAGGACUUCAAUCCCUUUGUUUGUCCUUUAUCCCCCUCACCCCAAACCAAAACCACAGGAGACCUGCUAAAUCCUCUCUGAAUGUGAUGACUUUUUUUUCUUUGAACUGUGCAUAGCUGACACCAUCCGAGUCUUCAGACAAGAGAUUAUGGACACCGUAUAAUGGCAGAACCAAUACAACGAUGAACAUUUAAGAAGUACUUUGGUUGUGCCAAGUCCCAUGUAAUAGACCCUUCAUCUCAAUUCAUCUUAGGACAAUCUUGAGACCAGUGCUGUCAUCAUCAUUCCCAUUUUACAGGAGACCAGUGCUGUCAUUCCUAUUUUGCAGAUGAGAAAACCGAGGCUUAGAAAGAUUCCUUAACCUGGCCAAGGCCACACAGGCUGCAUAUUGCUCCAGGCUGUAGCAAUACCAACUAUUGAACUAUUCUGCAACUGGUCUAUGUUUCAGUUGAUUUCAGUUUCUCACUGUGGUAAGCAACGUAUUGAAGAACAACCUUGACUACGAAUCUUUGGCAGCUUCUCGGAUUCGUCGCUUAGAAUGGGAUGCUGCGUUGAUUCUUGUGCCAGUACCCAAUGGUAGACUAUUUCCGAUCUUUGCCAAUUUGCUGCAUUAAAGAAUGGUAUUUCAUUUUAAGACUGGCUCACUGUCUCGGUUGCUCACUAAUAUGGGAUUUGCCUAAACUUGAGUUUUAAUCCAAGCUCUGGCACCUUGUAACAAGCAUCCUAUAAAACCAUGAAGUCAGUCCCACAGAUGAUCUUCAAGGCAGAUAUACUAGUUCUCUAUUGCCACGGAGUGACUUACCCUGAAAGUAGUAGCUUAUAGCAACAAUACACUCUAUGAUCUCUGAUGGCUUCUGUGGAUCAAGAAUUUGGGAGUGGCUGGGUGGCUCCAACUGAGGAUUUCUCGUGAAGACUGCUUUCAUCUGAAAAUGGCACUAGAGGCUUGAACCAUUCCCAGAUGGUUCAUUCCAAUGGCUGGUAAGCUGGCAGAAAGCUGAGUUCCUCCUCAUGUGGCCUGAAUCAUAGGGCUGCUUGAGUGUCCUCACCACAUGGUGGCUGGCUUCCCCAGAGCAAGGGAUCUAAGACGCCAGGAAGAAAUGCUAUGAACACUGUGACCCAGCCUUAGAAGUCACCCAGCGUCAUUUCCACAACAUCCAUAGGUUGUAGAGGCCAUUCUCUGUGGGUGGCGACUGUACAGCUCAUAGAUACCAGAGGGCAAGGAUCUUGGAGAUCCAUCUUGGAGACUGGCCACCUCAGCAGCUACCUUGUGAUAUGAACCCAAACCACAGGCUACCUUUUCUCAAGCAACUACUGUGCAAGGCACCGUGCCAAAGAGUUAACAUACAUUAUCUCAUUUCAUCUUGAAAGCAGUCCUAAGAUUCAAGUGUUUGUACUGUGCCUGUUUUACCUACAAGGAAAUGGAGGCUCAGAGAGGCUAAUAACCUGCCCAAGGUCACAGAGCUAGUGUGUGACAGGUGGAAAGAGCACUGGAGCACAUCCCAGCCACCAGAGCGCAUGCCUAGCUUGUGCUGUCCUACCUGUGGCGUUGCUGGGACUGCCGUGUGGCGUGAUGAAAACAUGUAGGGAGCUGUAGAGCAUUAUACCAUGACCACAGAGGGACCAAAUCCCUUUGUCCCUCUGUCAGCAGUGGGGGGGGGGGGGGGCGGGGGCAUGUGGGAAGCACACAUCUAAGGACAGAGUGCGUCACUUAGUAAAUAAGUGACAAAUGCAAUGUGGUUUUGCUUUUUAUUAAACCAACUGUGAAAAAGACUUGCAACUGGCUCUCUGUGACCUGAACAAUUAGCAUUAGAGCCUAUUAUGUUUCCCGGAAGCGGAAUGCCCUGUGUUUUUGAUGGGAUUCUAAGGAACCAGGAACGAGGAGAGUAAUAAACUGUAAAGAUUGGAUUCAUCUCCUGCCUGGCAUAGGAGGCGAGGAGGUUUGGAAUGCUUCAGUAUAAAA